rnacentral:rRNA from 1 species
UUUUGUGGUUUUGGAUGGACUCGCGGCCUAUCAGCUUGUUGGUGAGGUAAUGGCUCACCAAGGCGACGACGGGUAGCCGGCCUGAGAGGGUGACCGGCCACACUGGGACUGAGACACGGCCCAGACUCCUACGGGAGGCAGCAGUGGGGAAUAUUGCACAAUGGGCGAAAGCCUGAUGCAGCGACGCCGCGUGAGGGAUGACGGCCUUCGGGUUGUAAACCUCUUCAGUAGGGAAGAAGCGAAA